ACGAAACGAGAAGUCGACUCGCCUAUCGGCGUCCGGCCCUCCGCGAGCACCCGAGGGGGUUCGGGCCUCGGACCCGGUCCGAUCCCGUCCCUUCUUCGGGGCUGUCCGCGAAUGGAGGUGUCCUCGGACGGAGUCGAAAGAUUCUCCGGUCCGCGACGCUACGGCUUGGAUGGUCCACCCGACCCGUCUUGAAACACGGACCAAGGAGUCUAACAUGCGCGCGAGUCGUUGGGUCGGAAACGCUCCGCUAAACCCAUAGGCGAAAUGAAAGUGAAGGCCACCGUACGGGCGGCCGAGGGAGGACGGGGCCGCUGACGCGGUCCCCGCACCCCCGGGGCGUCUGAUCCCUCAUCGCGAGGGGAGGCGCACCCAGAGCGCACACGUUGGGACCCGAAAGAUGGUGAACUAUGCCUGGCCAGGACGAAGUCAGGGGAAACCCUGAUGGAGGUCCGUAGCGAUUCUGACGUGCAAAUCGAUCGUCGGAGCUGGGUAUAGGGGCGAAAGACUAAUCGAACCAUCUAGUAGCUGGUUCCCUCCGAAGUUUCCCUCAGGAUAGCUUGCGCUCGGAGGAGAGUCUCAUCCGGUAAAGCGAAUGAUUAGAGGCCUUGGGGCCGAAACGGCUUCAACCUAUUCUCAAACUUUAAAUGGGUGAGAACUCCGGCUUGCUCGAUUACUCGAAGCCGGAGACGGGGACACGUCCCCCGGGAUCGGAGUGCACAGUGGGCCACUUUUGGUAAGCAGAACUGGCGCUGUGGGAUGAACCAAACGACGGGUUAAGGCGCCCGAAUCGACGCUCAUGGGAAACCAUGAAAGGUGUUGGUUGCUUAAGACAGCAGGACGGUGGCCAUGGAAGUCGGAAUCCGCUAAGGAGUGUGUAAUAACUCACCUGCCGAAGCAACUAGCCCUGAAAAUGGAUGGCGCUGAAGCGUCGUGCCUAUACCCGGCCGUCGCCGCAAGACGGACCCGGCCCCGCGCCGGGUGCCGCCUGACGCGGCGACGAGUAGGAGGGUCGCGGCGGCGAGCGCAGAAGGGUCUGGGCUCGAGCCUGCCUGGAGCCGCCGCCGGUGCAGAUCUUGGUGGUAGUAGCAAAUACUCCAGCGAGGCCCUGGAGGACUGAUGUGGAGAAGGGUUUCGUGUGAACAGCCGUUGCACACGAGUCAGUCGAUCCUAAGCCCUAGGAGAAAUCCGACGCCAACGGCGACGGGAAAAAACGAAGGAGAGAAUGAAACCCGUUGAUCGGGCGAAAGGGAAUCCGGUUCCUAUUCCGGAACCCGGCAGCGGAACCGCUGUUUGUCGGGCCCUCACAAGGGGUUCGUCAGGGUAACCUAAAAGGGCCCGGAGACGCCGUCGGGAGCCCCGGAAAGAGUUUUCUUUUCUGCAUGAGCGUUCGAGUUCCCUG
rnacentral:rRNA from 1 species